ensembl:lncRNA
GUGCAGGCCUGGUUAAGCAUUUUCUCCUCACUGUCCCAAAAAGCAUGUCCUCCUUGGAAAGUAUGCAGUGCCUCAGGAAAAUGUUUCAAACUUAGUGAGCAUACAUUUAUGUUAAUCAUUUGGUCCUUAUUUUAUAACUUUUCAUAAUUCUAGUCAUAAAUAGGUAACUUCAAACUCUGUUGCCUCAACAAAAUAUAAACUAUCCUGAUUUUGCCUGCUAUCAAAAGGAUAAUGACCCAGACAUAAAAGGAAGCCUGUAUCCAGCCGCUGAAAAUGUCAGUAUCUUGAGUGAAUACUCUGUUUCGUGGGACGAGAAGUAAGAGCUGAAUCUUCUGAAAGAACGCUAAAGAUAAAGCUCUCGUGGUCAUUGCUUCACAAUAAAACUCAGUAAUAAAAUCCACACUAAGUGUGCGUCCUGCUUUGACAGCUGAAAUGAAGGAGGCAUGUGGGUUAAAUUCAAAUGCAUUCUGGAGGACUGUACUGUGAAGAGCAGUUGCUGUGAUGACUUGAUUAUUUAUGAAAGUCAGAGUUACCAGUGGGAGAGAUAUAUUUGCUGUUGCCACUGAGAUUAUCACGGACUUUAAGAAAAUAGCUAUCUAUGGGGAACAUUAAUAGCAAGCAGUUGGACCCAAGAAGUUACAAUAAAAUGAAAAUCUGUGGAUUCCUUCCAGACUAAUAUGGUUUGAUCAAGCAAGACCCCCUGAAGCUGAGAUGGUACAACCGAACAGACUACAAAAACAAGGACUUGGUCAGAUUUCUGUGUUUUAUUAUGAUUCCAAUGGUAUGAACAUCAUCCCCAAUCAGCAGGAAGCAGUUUAGAAAGAAUGACGCCCAUUUUCCCAAAUAUUGUUUAUAAAUUUUGUUUUCAUUUAAGUGGGGUUGGUUAUAAAUGAUAACGAGCAUAGUCAAUCUCUUUUUAAAGAAAGAAAAGGGGGAAUGGUAUAUAGGAAUGAAUGCUUUACAUUGGUAUGGAUUUUCAUUUAUUGAUACAACUUUAAGGUCAAUUUUGUGAUAUGUAUAUGUCUCCUCUUGUUUAGGUAUUGUGUUUAUACAGAUCUUUUACCUAUAAUAGUCAGAACUUAUAAUUAGGUUAGUUAAGUUUUCUAGAUUUACAGAGAUGUAUUUGAGAUGGUUAGGUAUUCUUCAAACCUUUCAAAGACCUACACAAAUAUGGCAUUUAAAUGGUUUAGGGUUUUUCUUGGCAAUGAGACACAACUGUUCCUAGCACACCAAUUAUGUCAGAAAGGAAGAUGGGCAUCAAAGAAACUCGUUAUGGAGUUUUCUUUCAACAUGGCAAGAUUAGCCAUUUGGGCAAGAAACUGCUCUUGCCUGGACUGUUUGUUGCUGUAUAAACUGGACAUGCAGGACCCACAAGAAAAUAACUGCUGAACUUACAAGGCAAGACAGUACUAAAGAGUUCCUGUUGAAAUGGAGAAGUGUGCUAGACACACUAUGUCCUAUAGGCUAAAGAUGGAUGCCCCAAUGUUACAGAGGAACUUUGGAUGACUGUCCAGCUAGCAAAAUGUCCUGUCAAUUCUAGAGUUUAUAUAUUUUCCUUCUAUGAUCUUUGAUAGAGUUGAAGACAGAUAGUUAUGGUUAUAGUUUUCUUCAGUUAUUAUAAAAGAUAAGUUAUCCUUUUUAUUUAGACAUUAAAAAAGAGAUGAUAGGGAAUGUACUUCUUUGUAUGUUUAUCUUAUUGAUUGUUGAAUAAAAUACUGUUUGGCCAAUGGCAGCAAGUUAGGCAGGACUAGGAGUCAAAGAGGAUUCUGGGAAAUGUAGUAGAGAAGUGGUGUUCCAGGCAGGAAGUGACAUAGCAAGGAGACUCAUAUUUAGCAAGGAAAACAGGAAGUGUCCCCUUUUCCCCUCUGCUCUUCCUCCAGCAGAGCAAUGUGAACCACCGGCAAGGAGGGACGCCAAUAAGGCAUCUGAUAAGAUAAGUCUUAUAAAAUAUGUAGAUGUAUGAUAAUUGAGGUUGAACUAACAGAUGAGAAUCCUAGUCAUUGGCCAAGCAGCAUUGUACCUAAU